GUCCAGGCCUGGCCCAAAUCGCACUCUCGGUGGCUUCGACAGCUGCCUCCUCAUAUAUCCAGGGAACGAGCAUCCCUCUCCUCCAAUCUCUAAAUUAGGUCUAAAUCGCAUCGAAAAUCCUAGCAGCUCGCGUCGAUGAUUUUGAUGCGAUUCCCCGUACCUAGAUCUUAGCCUCUAGAUUCAUCCAGGCGCCGCUCUCCACGUCCUCCAAGAUGAGCCCAGGGCGGCCCACUAUGCGGGCGUUGCGGGAGGAGCGAGAUGUCGAUCUGGAUCGGGGUGGCCGGCUAGGCGGCGGGAGCAUCAUCGGGCAGGCUACACCGUGAGAGUGUCGUCGAUGAAGACGUACAUCACGUCGCGAUGUGGACAUCAGAUAUUGCCUUCUCCGUCAGAUUCGUUCUUCUCCGACUGACUCAAGAUCUGCUGCUGGACUUCUUCUGAGGAGGCAGUGCUUGUCAGAUCCCAUGGGCGUCCUGCGUCAGGUCGCGGUAGUACUGAAUCUGCCACCCUUGGACGCAAAGGCCGCCGCUGCCGUAUCCAACGCGCCUGUGGCCGGCACUCUUACUUGCAGCCCUCGUGAUCAUUGAGGUUCAGUUUUGGAGGUCGGAGCCCAUGUCAGUUAGGGAGCGGAAGCGCACCAAUCUGCAGGCCUCCAUAACCUGAGAACAAACUAGAUCAACUAUCUUGGGUUCAUCUAAUUUUGAUUUACUUUGGCUGAGCUUGGAUGCAAUCAGUAAAUCGUGGAUCAGCUCCUUCGUGCUCGCUUCCUAGGAAAGCAGUAUGAGCGACUGUAUGUGGCAUAUAAUUGGCUGGUCAGAUGGCUCGCUUUCUAGGAAAGCAGUACGAGCUACUGUAUAUGGCAUAUCAUUGGCUGGUCAGAUGAUAUAGCUCUAGCCUGCAGUUACAUAUUAUUCGCUGGUUCGUGAUAAAACUCUUUGCUGCAGGAACAAGUGUAACAUCGAUUGCAGCCGCCAUCAAUAACUGGACGUGCCAGCUGAUAACUCUACGGGACCUCUCGUUGCCACCGGCAGCAACAUCGCCAAGCUCCAGGACCUCUUGUCGCAGGAUGUGCAGCAAGCAAAUCUCUCAUCGCCAUCGCCGUUGCCGCAAUAGUCCAAGGCGGUGAUAGCUGUGAUGAAACAACGAGCUCUUGUCGCUACCUUGGACACGACACAACCACGGAAAAAGGCGAGAAAAUGACAAAAACACAUAGGAGCUGCGACGAUAUCAGCCACGAACAGGUGGGCCCUCGGUCCUUGGAAGCAAUGGUGGCGGUUGAUGGAUGGAGGUAGAAAGCCCUCUGGAGAUGGUCCAUCGGCGGCACAGUGACAUGGCCGUUGUCAUGUGGUGAUUGAUCCACAAAAGGGGCAGAAAACCGGAGGUGCAAAAGGCCAUGCGGCUUGGAAUUAACGGGAUGAAGAUGAUAACUGAAAUCUUGAUCAUGCCAAGAGGUUGGGCGCUGAUCAAAAGACGCUUGAAAAAUAAUGGGAUGCUUACGAAUAGAGGUACGUGCGACCGUGGAGAUCCCUCUCGGAACUAGGCGUGAUCUGGUAUUGUGGUGUUUAUACGCAUGCAGGUAAAAGUAUUAGUCAAUGGUAUCUGAUUCUCACGUUCUUGUGGAUCCUCAAGGGGGUGUCUUCAGGUGAUGAAUUCAUUCAUUUGCUAAGCUGUUUCUUAGUGAACAAGGAAGACGGCAAGCGGCGUAUAAUGAAGCCUGUGAUGGAGGUUGUAACUACCGUAGCAUAUCCUAGAAUAAAGUGAAUAAACCUUUUCCUGUCAUGGUUGCAUUAGACGGGAGAAAGAAUGCUGCGAUUUGACCA